rnacentral:rRNA from 1 species
AAAGGGUGCGUAGGCGGCCUGUUAAGUCAGGGGUGAAAGACGGUAGCUCAACUAUCGCAGUGCCCUUGAUACUGAUGGGCUUGAAUUGACUAGAGGUAGGCGGAAUGUGACAAGUAGCGGUGAAAUGCAUAGAUAUGUCACAGAACAUCGAUUGCGAAGGCAGCUUACUAUGGUCUUAUUGACGCUGAGGCACGAAAGCGUGGGGAUCAAACAGGAUUAGAUACCCCAGU